CCCUCUCCCCAGGAUCACAGCCGUUCCCUCCACACUCAAAGAAGAGAAGAUAACAUUCCCACCAAGGGGCAUUCCUAGCCCCUUGUAGGUUUGCUGUGUCACACUCUAGAAAUGGCUCUGCCUCUCUGUUCUUCUGGCUCCAUAAGAUGAAGCUGAAUUUGGUGCCCCAAGUUGGUUCAUUCCCAGAUCGUGAAAAGAAUAGAAGAGCAAGUUCAAGAACCAGAUUUCUGGCCAAGGAACAAUCAUCUAAGAAAUUGUAAGCAGGAUUGACCUGAGUGUGGAUGAGUCAGGGCUGUGGAAAGAGGAAGUAGUCAUCCCUCUGGGGGGUCAGUCCUACCAGGGUCGAAGUAAACCUUUCCAGACACACAGACCCCUCUGCUCCCUCAGAGCUUGAAAAGGUUAAGACUCAAAAGCUGCCCUGAAACCUGGAAAUCUUUCCUUCAACAUUAAAAGUCUUCAGAUGUUCCUCCUGCUGUCUAGCCUCAGGGACUGCUCCCUAUCCCAGGAGGUGGCCUCCCCCAAAGAAAGCAUGUCGGUCACAAUCAGUGAUCCUCCAAAGCCCCGGGUAUCCUUCUAGACACUUAUGUCUUCUGGAAUCAGAAUAAGGGCUGCCAACUCCAUCAGAAAUCGGGUUGCUCCUGGAGCCGUGCCGGUGAGCACAUAAACACUUCUUGAAUCCCUGCCCACAUCAUAGAGGUCAUGGCCUACACUGGACACGUGGGUGUUGAGUGAUGGAGGCCAGGAAGGCAAAUGAAACUCCAAGCCUGCCAGAUGAAGGCCCCAGGCUACAAGCAGAUCCUAAAGGACUCACCUCAGCCCCAAGGUUUGACGUGUGAUCAUGUGUGGAUCUCAGACACCCAAGCUAGACAGAAGGAAGGACUUCCCCGAGUACAGGUUGGCAGUGCUGUUAGCAAUUUCAUCAGACAUGGAGGCCUCUCUUCUUGGAAGGCGAUGAAGCAGGAGAGUCCCCAUGCUGCUGAGCCAGGGGUGAGGAAAGGACUGGAGAGAGGGCCCUUGAUAGCAGGAACGCCCUCCUGGAGUCUCCGACAUGUCGCCAUAAAUUGUCUUCUGAGGAGGAAGCCAGAUCCAACAUCUAGUUCGAGCAGUAAAGCCUCCGAGAAGAAGCUGGAAUAACCAGGUGUAAGGGACAUGGGGGGUGAAGGCGGUCACUGUGUGGCUCUGCAGGCUGAGCCAGGACGGCUGCCUACCACCCCAAUCUCCAAAGUGGGCAUGCCACAGGGUUGGGGGGGCAGGAAGGACCUUUUCUAUAAUAUUGUAUUGUUGCUGUCCUGAUCGAGAACCCUCGUACUUCCGGGGUCCCUCAUAGCAAACUUAAAAGCUUCUCUUGGUCUUUCAGGAAGCCUCGUUCAAAAAGCCCCAUUCUGGCACCUGGGUGGCUCAGGCAUUAAGCGUCUGCCUUCGGCUCAGGUCAUGAUCCCAGGGUCCUGGGAUUGAGCCCCGCAUCAGGCUCCCUGCUCAGUGGGGAGACUGCUUCCCUCUCCCACUCCCCCUGCUUGUGUUCCCUCUCUCACUGUGUCUCUCGCUGUCAUUAAAAAAAAAAAGAAAAAGAAAAAAGCCCCAUUCUGGCCCGAAGCCCCCUUCCCCAGGGUGUGUGCUGAGUAUCACGCUCAUAGCCCUGAGGAUGGGUUGGGGGGGGACCCUAGCACCCUCCAGACAGCCUAAGACCUGCACCACUCUAGCUGAGCCAGCAGCCUGGUCCAGUGGAAUGGGCACCAGCCUGGGGAUCAGGGGGCUGGGCUCCUACUCCCCAGCAGGCUGAUCUGGUGCAGUCCUCACCCAAGUAGUGACUGGGUGUCCAGGCCCUGGAGGGAGACUGCCAGGGUUCCAAUUCUGCCUUUGCCACCUAAGGACCUCAGCCAAUUUAUUUAACCUCCCUUGGUUUAGUGUUUUCAUGGGAACACUGCUACCCCCCCCCUAAAGUGAGUGAAUAUUAAAUAUUAAAUGGGGUGACCCAUGGAAAACGUGUAGCACUUAAGACCAGCACAUCCUAGGGGUCAAUAAUCAAACAGACUAUUGUCAUCAUUAUGCACUUCUUUGUCUAGGGAAGGAAACCAAAGCCCAGAGAGGGGAACUGAUUUGGGUCAGAAUUAGAGCCCAGACUUCCUCUCACCUAAUUCAAGAAUGUUCUUCAACACAUUACCUCUGGGCCUUACUUUCUUCGUUUGUAUAAUGAAGGGGUUAGAGGAGACCUUUAAGGUAUAAUGAAGGGAGGGGGGCACCUGGGUGGCUCAGUGGGUUAAAGCCUCUGCCUUUGGCUCAGGUCAUGAUCCCAGGGUCCUAGGAUCAAGCCUCGCAUAGGGCUCUCUGCUCAGCGGUGAGCCUGCUACCCCCCCCCCUCUCUGACUGCCUCUCUGCCUACUUGUGAUCUCUGUUAAAUAAAUAAAUAAGAGCUUAAAAAAAAAAAAAAGGUAUAAUGAAGGGGUUAGAGGAGACCAUUAAGGUUUCCAUGAUCAUCAUCGUCGUCGUCCUCGCCUUAGAACUUCUUUCCAAAGCAACCUAAUCCUGAAUCCUGACACAUAAAUGUGGACUAGGUCCAGAGAAAACGAUGUGAGCGAAGGAGUGGUCUGGAGCCUGAGCAGCAACCCUAGGCCCACCCUAGAGACUGGGGAUAUCCAGACCCCAAGUCAAGCCGUUGGCCAGGAUGAUCUCAGGACUUCUGCCACUGGUACUCUAGGAAGCCAGUGCCCCCAGAAAUAGCAAGACCUGGGAGAGGAGGAAGGGCCGGAAGAAAGAUUUUCUGUUGAUAGGAUGGUCUUCACACCCUCACUGCACAGCAAAGUGGUGGAGGAGGGAGGCAUGCAGGGAGUGAACCAGAAGGCUCAUGGAGAGGGGCUGGUCCACAACCCAGGCACAAACCACCCUGAGUGCCUCCACUCUCCUCAGGCUUCCCAGCUUGGAGCAGCCCGCGCUCCUGCCAUAGCUGCAGCCCAAGAAAACACGGCUAUAAAACAGACAUUUGCUUUAAUUUUGACUUGAAGGGGCAAUUUAGCACAGGCUGUUUGCAAGCUGUCAGAGUUCUUUACGAGGUUCUAUCAUGUUUUCCCAAAAUGCUCCCCACAAGCGGAUUCCUGGGGUCAAAGUUCACACAUAACUAUUUAGGGGGAAGAAGGGUUGGAGGGAGCAUGGGAGAUUGUGGAGACUGUAGAACACACAUACAUACAUAUAUAUGUGUGUGUCUAUAUAUAACCACACAUAUAUAUAGUUUGUUUUUAACUCAGAUCAAGAGUGGCUGGGAGGGGCGCCUGGGUGGCUCAGGUGUCAAGCUGCUGCCUUCGGCUCAGGUCAGGAUCCCAGGGUCCUGGGAUCAAGCCCCACAUCGGGCUCCCUGCUCUGUGGGAAGCCUGCUUCUCCCUCUCCCACUUCCCUUGCUUGUGUUCCCUCUCUCACUGUGUCUCUCUCUGUCAAAUAAAUAAAAUCUUUAAAAAAAAAAAAAAAAAAAAAGAGUGGCUGGGAAACAGCAAGAGAGAGCCCCAUCAGGAGAGCCCCUGGUCAGUG
rnacentral:lncRNA from 1 species